rnacentral:rRNA from 1 species
CCCUUAGUUAUCCUAGGUCGCACGCGCCAUACAAUGUGGCGCACAACGAGUCUCCUUGGCCGACAGGAUGUCCCGCGAGCGAUCGGCGACGCAGCCAGCUCGGUCUUCGGGCAGACUCGGUGAGAGUGGCCCGUCCUCCUGAGAGGGCGAUCGUCGAUGCCUCGGGAUUCUGGGCAAUCUGGCAGAGCGCUACGUGACUGGGCUAGACUUUUGUAAUUUUUGGUCUUGAACGAGGAAUGCCUAGUAAUCGCAGGUCAGCAUCCUGCGAUGAUUCGGUCCCUGCCCUUUGUACACACCGCCCGUCGCUCCAGCCGUGGCAUGCGCCGGUGAAGAGGGGGAGGCAGCGUCGGCCGUGUAACAGCGGAUCGUACGUGGAACCCCUCUGAACCUUCGCACGUAGAGGAAGGAGAAGUCGUAACA